rnacentral:rRNA from 1 species
CGCGGUAAUACGUAGGUGGCAAGCGUUGUCCGGGAUUUACUGGGCGUAAAGGGAUGUGUAGGCGGAUACUUAAGUGAGAUGUGAAAGCCCCGGGCUUAACCUGGGGACUGCAUUUCAAACUGGGUAUCUAGAGUGCAGGAGAGGAAAGCGGAAUUCCUAGUGUAGCGGUGAAGUGCGUAGAGAUUAGGAAGAACAUCAGUGGCGAAGGCGGCUUUCUGGACUGUAACUGACGCUGAGGCAUGAAAGCGUGGGGAGCAAACAGGAUUAGAUACCCUGGUAGUCCACGCCGUAAACGAUGAGUACUAGGUGUAGGAGGUAUCGACUCCUUCUGUGCCGCAGUUAACACAAUAAGUACUCCGCCUGGGAAGUACGGUCGCAGGAUUAAAACUCAAAGGAAUUGACGGGGGCCCGCACAAGCAGCGGAGCAUGUGGUUUAAUUCGAAGCAACGCGAAGAACCUUACCUAGACUUGACAUCUCCUGAAUAGCGUAGAGAUACGUGAAGCCCUUCGGGGCAGGAAGACAGGUGGUGCAUGGUUGUCGUCAGCUCGUGUCGUGAGAUGUUGGGCUAAGUCCCGCAACGAGCGCAACCCUUAUCAUUAGUUGCUACCAUUAAGUUGAGCACUCUAGUGAGACUGCCCGGGUUAACCGGGAGGAAGGCGGGGAUGACGUCAAAUCAUCAUGCCCCUUAUGUCUAGGGCUACACACGUGCUACAAUGGUGAGAACAACGAGAUGCAAUACCGCGAGGUGGAGCCAAACUUGAAAACUCAUCCCAGUUCGGAUUGCAGGCUGAAAUUCGCCUGCAUGAAGUUGGAGUUGCUAGUAAUCGCGAAUCAGAAUGUCGCGGUGAAUACGUUCCCGGGCCUUGUACACACCGCCCGUCACACCAUGAGAGCUGGUAACACCCGAAGU